UACAGAGGGGGCAAGCGUUGUUCGGAAUUACUGGGCGUAAAGGGCGCGUAGGCGGCCCGCUAAGUCGAACGUGAAAUCCCCGAGCUCAACUCGGGAACUGCGUCCGAUACUGGUGGGCUUGAAUCCGGGAGAGGGAUGCGGAAUUCCAGGUGUAGCGGUGAAAUGCGUGGAUAUCUGGAGGAACACCGGUGGCGAAGGCGGCAUCCUGGACCGGCAUUGACGCUGAAUAGCGAAAGCCAGGGGAGCAAACGGG
rnacentral:rRNA from 1 species